UAGCAAUAUUUCGUAGUUGGAGCGGCGCAAGGGUGCGUAACACGUGGGUAAUCUGCCGUGAAGUCUGGAAUAACUUGCUGAAAGGCGAGCUAAUACCGGAUGUGAAAAUUGGAGGGCAUCUUCUGAUUUUCAAAGUUGGGGACCGUAAGGCCUGACGCUUCACGAUGAGCCCGCGGCCUAUCAGCUAGUUGGUGAGGUAACGGCUCACCAAGGCUAAGACGGGUAGCUGGUCUGAGAGGACGACCAGCCACACUGGAACUGAGACACGGUCCAGACACCUACGGGUGGCAGCAGUCGAGAAUUUUUCACAAUGGGCGAAAGCCUGAUGGAGCGACGCCGCGUGGGGGAUGAAUGGCUUCGGCCCGUAAACCCCUGUCAUUCGCGAACAAUGCCUGCGUGCUAACACCACGCAGGUUGAUAGUAGCGGAAGAGGAAGGGACGGCUAACCCUGUGCCAGCAGCCGCGGUAAUACAGAGGUCCCAAGCGUUGUUCGGAUUCACUGGGCGUAAAGGGUGCGUAGGUGGUCGGGUAAGUCUGAUGUGAAAUCUCGGAGCUCAACUCCGAAACGGCAUUGGAUACUAUUCGGCUUGAGGGUUGGAGGGGGGACUGGAAUUCUCGGUGUAGCA
rnacentral:rRNA from 1 species